rnacentral:rRNA from 1 species
GUGGGGAAUAUUGGACAAUGGGCGAAAGCCUGAUCCAGCCAUGCCGCGUGUGUGAAGAAGGUCUUCGGAUUGUAAAGCACUUUAAGUUGGGAGGAAGGGCAGUAAGUUAAUACCUUGCUGUUUUGACGUUACCGACAGAAUAAGCACCGGCUAACUUCGUGCCAGCAGCCGCGGUAAUACGAAGGGUGCAAGCGUUAAUCGGAAUUACUGGGCGUAAAGCGCGCGUAGGUGGUUUUGUAAGUUGGAGGUGAAAUCCCCGGGCUCAACCUGGGAACUGCCUCCAAAACUGCAUGACUAGAGUACGGGAGAGGGUAGUGGAAUUUCCUGUGUAGCGGUGAAAUGCGUAGAUAUAGGAAGGAACACCAGUGGCGAAGGCGACUACCUGGACUGAUACUGACACUGAGGUGCGAAAGCGUGGGGAGCAAACAGGAUUAGAUACCCUUGUAGUCC